UGGGGAAUAUUGCACAAUGGGCGCAAGCCUGAUGCAGCCAUGCCGCGUGUAUGAAGAAGGCCUUCGGGUUGUAAAGUACUUUCAGCGGGGAGGAAGGGAGUAAAGUUAAUACCUUUGCUCAUUGACGUUACCCGCAGAAGAAGCACCGGCUAACUCCGUGCCAGCAGCCGCGGUAAUACGGAGGGUGCAAGCGUUAAUCGGAAUUACUGGGCGUAAAGCGCACGCAGGCGGUUUGUUAAGUCAGAUGUGAAAUCCCCGGGCUCAACCUGGGAACUGCAUCUGAUACUGGCAAGCUUGAGUCUCGUAGAGGGGGGUAGAAUUCCAGGUGUAGCGGUGAAAUGCGUAGAGAUGUGGAGGAAUACCGGUGGCGAAGGCGGCCCCCUGGACGAAGACUGACGCUCAGGUGCGAAAGCGUGGGGAGCAAACAG
rnacentral:rRNA from 1 species